UAUAAAAUCAUGACUAAAUAAUAAGUGUAAGAGGUAUAAAACCUGCAUAUAAAAUCAACCCAACACCUCUGCAACUUAAAUUGGUUUCUUUUAAUCGAUUUUGCAGCCUACUCUUCCUGAAAAUUUAGUUGUUAGCACAAUUCUGUUCGUCGUUCUCCAGUUGGUGCGCCAGGUGGUGUUUGUGAUCUGGCAUAUAUAUUGUGUAUGCUUCAACAUCAGAACUGAUGAGUGGAUAAACUGGAAGAAUUAUCCAGAGUUCCAACGUGUUGUUCAACCGCAUCCAGGUAAGUGCACAUCGCAGCAGAAAUUCUGGAUCUUCGUAAUUUUCACCUGUAUGCAGAAUGUAAUGCCUAAUCUUUUGCCCAUCUGGGGAAAAAUUUCACAAGUAUUAGGUUCAGGAAUCCUUAUGACAAAGGCAUUUUUCAGAAUGCCAGGGAGUUUUUAGCAUUAAGAGCGUGACAAUGUCAACUCCUAACCUUACAUUCGUAUCUGCAUUCCACACCAUUUUUUGAAAAGCAGUCGCUCUUAUCGUUUCUUAUCUGCAUUCCACACCAGUUUUCAAAAACUGACAGAACGUUGAAUAGGCCGAUUAUAACAUGUCUUGGCUCAUGUAACUUUGCAGCCUAUGUAUGCACUUCUGCGAUUUGUCAACCAUAUGACGAAUAAAUAGCUUGACAAUCACUGCAACCCUUCAUAGCGUAUGAUGAAUGUAAAUUUACAGCCUAUGCAUGCACUUCUGCUUUUGUAAGUGUCUCAUAUUACUAAACUCCGAAUUAUGACUCUGGUCAAUGAGAGUAAACAUAUAGGCCUAUAGUGAACCGGAAUUGGUUCCAGCUCUCUCCUAUGUUCUGUGAAGGCGGAGACGUAAGGGGAAAGGAUGAAGAAGCUUUAUCAAUCCUUCUGGCCACCAAGCAUCUCCAGCUCCUCGCUACAGCGUACUGACAUUCGGUACCCUUUCAAGGACUUCCCCUUCUCUUCUUCUCACUCUGUGUCUCAGUUCUCUCUGAUUGUAACCAUCAACUAACUCCAGACUGAUCCUCAACAUUCAUUUAGAUCAUUACAAAUGAAUUUUAAUUAAACAUUCAUUUAGAUUGCGCUUUUGCCCGAAUGUGAAUAGUCUAGUGUUUGUGAUCACUUCAUAUUUGUACACCCCAAACUAAAGCAUGUGCCCUACAAAGAGGGACACCCCAGGCCCGAAGACAAAUUAAAUGUGAUGCUACUAUUAAUAGUAACUCGAGUGCACCGGUGAACUUUGAAGUACUGGGGUGGGUAACCUUCUGGAAAAUCUUUGCGUCGGAUUUUGUUUUUAGGCUUGGGUUUGGAUUUGCAUAAAAGAGUAGCAUGAUCUUUGUGCAAGGAUGACAUGCAUAAAUUGAGAUAUGAUCCUGGCUUAAUCCAAUUCUACAUCCCUUUUGUGCAAAUAUAUAAAAGAGCACCAUUGUA